AAGUCGUAACAAGGUUUCCGUAGGUGAACCUGCGGAAGGAUCAUUAAUGAAUUUUGGAGGGAGGGUUGUUCUGGCUCUUCGGUGCAUUGUGAACACCCUCCCAACACAAUCCCAUCAUACCCUGUGUGCACUGUUGGGGGUAGCAUCGACUGUAAAAGUCGGAUUGGACCACUGCAACUUUUUGUAGUGCUUUGGUCUGUUCUGCUGCCUCUUUUUUUCUACAAAUGCCUGUACAACAGAAUGUCUAUUGUAUAAAUGUUAUACAACUUUCAACAACGGAUCUCUUGGCUCUC
rnacentral:misc_RNA from 1 species